UAACAGCUGGCAGAAAAUACUAGUCACACGACUUUACUGACUUGUUUAUUGAAGUUUUCCGACCAUAGUGGCAUAAAGUGAAAUAAAAAAGUAAACGAAGGACGCGGACACCCGUGUUAUUGGAUAGUUUUAUCAAAGUUGUCCAAUGGAGGCACGAGUUCAUCCGUCAAACCCUAAUUAAUUUAAACGACUCAAGCUUCGUGACAGGAAAGCGCUCGAGUCAGACCACUUAAUAACUGAAGAAAGAGAAGACCUCAAACCUGCAGAUGGCACACAACUCACAUUAUCUCCGCAUCUACCCUCAAGAAGGCAUUGAACAAGUCACUCCUUCUGUGUCCUUUAGGUGGCGCUGUGAUACAGGACAGCGUGUAUCCCUCAAUAAAUCAGGAUGAAGAAUGGAACAGCUUGGGAUGCAGGAGUGUUUGUAGGCAGCUGCUCUGCAUAUAAAGUGUGUCUUUAUGUCACAGUAUGAACUCAGACUCAGAAAUGUAGGCCAUGCUUUAGAUGAUUCAUGCAAGUACUCUCAGUGUCAUUCUGCCCACAGGAUCUCUCGAUUCGGCAGUAAAUCCUCAUAAAUAUAGCACUCAGAACGUCAUCCAUGACCUGAAGUUGAAGAAAGAGCGAGUUGGAUCUGCACUGAGGUUAAGCUGACUGUGAAGGUGGGGGUUUGAAGAUGACGUAGGCGUGAAAAUAUUCAGGAUGUGGUGUAAGGUGAAGCAGAGGAUGCAUGCGGCAGACAGGAAAACAGAAUGGGGACUUAAAUGGGUAGAGGAAAACAAAGAUACCCACUAUGCAGCAGAAUCAUUGAGCUGGUACUCUCUGGAUCGACUGAAACA